UACGUAGGGUGCGAGCGUUAAUCGGAAUUACUGGGCGUAAAGCGUGCGCAGGCGGCUUUGCAAGACAGAUGUGAAAUCCCCGGGCUUAACCUGGGAACUGCAUUUGUGACUGCAUGGCUGGAGUGCGGCAGAGGGGGAUGGAAUUCCGCGUGUAGCAGUGAAAUGCGUAGAGAUGCGGAGGAACACCGAUGGCGAAGGCAGCCCCCUGGGCUAGCACUGACGCUCAGGCACGAAAGCGUGGGGAGCAAACAGG
rnacentral:rRNA from 1 species